rnacentral:rRNA from 1 species
CUACGGGUUGCACCAGUGAGGAAUUUUGCGCAAUGGGGGGAACCCUGACGCAGCAACGCCGUGUGAGUGAAGAAGGCCUUUGGGUCGUAAAGCUCUGUCAACUGGGAAGAAGUUACUAUGCUUAAAUAGAGUGUAGUAUUGACGGUACCAGUGGAGGAAGCGUCGGCUAACUCCGUGCCAGCAGCCGCGGUAACACGGGGGACGCAAGCGUCAUUCGGAAUUAUUGGGCGUAAAGGGCGCGUAGGCGGUCUUGUCGGUCAGGUGUGAAAGCCCGGGGCUCAACCACGGACGUGCACUUGAAACAGCAAGACUUGAGUACGGGAGAGGAAAGCGGAAUUCCUGGUGUAGAGGUGAAAUGCGUAGAUAUCAGGAGGAACACCGAUGGCGAAGGCAGCUUUCUGGACCGAAACUGACGCUGAGGCGCGAAGGCGUGGGUAGCGAACAGGAUUAGAUACCCCCGUAGUC